GACGAACGCUGGCGGCGUGCCUAAUACAUGCAAGUAGAACGCACAGUUUAUACCGUAGCUUGCUACACCAUAGACUGUGAGUUGCGAACGGGUGAGUAACGCGUAGGUAACCUGCCUGGUAGCGGGGGAUAACUAUUGGAAACGAUAGCUAAUACCGCAUAAUAUUAAUUAUUGCAUGAUAAUUGAUUAAAAGGUGCAAUUGCACCACUACCAGAUGGACCUGCGCUGUAUUAGCUAGUAGGUGAGGUAACGGCUCACCUAGGCGACGAUACAUAGCCGACCUGAGAGGGUGAUCGGCCACACUGGGACUGAGACACGGCCCAGACUCCUACGGGAGGCAGCAGUAGGGAAUCUUCGGCAAUGGACGAAAGUCUGACCGAGCAACGCCGCGUGAGUGAAGAAGGUUUUCGGAUCGUAAAGCUCUGUUGUAAGAGAAGAACGGGUGUGAGAGUGGAAAGUUCACACUGUGACGUAUCUACCAAAAGGCG
rnacentral:rRNA from 1 species